GGGCGGUUAGCUCAGCUGGUUAGAGUGCUUGGUUUACACCCAAGAGGUCACAAGUUCGAGCCUUGUACCGCCCA
rnacentral:tRNA from 1 species